rnacentral:rRNA from 1 species
UGCAGUCGAGCGGCUGGAUUAAGAACCUGGCUCUAUGAGUGGCGAGUGGGAGAGGGGAGUAGAAUAUGGGUAACUCGCCCUUUUCAUGGGGAAUACUCCAGGGAACCUUGGCCUAAACCGGAAAACAAUUUGAAGCUGAAGGCUCGGAAUUGUCGGGCCUUGUCCGAUGUCAUGUACCGAUGGACCCGCAUCUCAUUGGCGGGGUGGUGGCGUAACGGCGCAACAAUGCAACGAUGCGUAGCCAAGAUGAUAGGGUGAUCGGCCACUGAGAGACUGACACAACGCCCACACUCCGACGGGAUGCGGAAUUUUGGAAUCUGCCCCCAUGCACGAACCUCCGACAGAGCAUGGCCGCGUGAGGGAUGAAGGCUUUCGGGUCCUAUUACUCUGUUGUAAGGGAAGAACGCUUGCUACUUGAAGGGACUGGCGCCUUGACGGUACCUACCCCGAAAGCCUCGGCGAACUACGUGCCGGCAACCGCGGUGGUGCGUACGUUGCACGCGUUAUCCGGAAUUAUUGGGCGUAUAGCUCGCGCAUGUGGUUUCUUAUGUCUGAUGUGAGAGCCCACGGCUCACCCGUGUAGGGUCAUUGGAAACUGGGAGACUUGAAUGCAAAAGAAGAUCGUGGAAUUCCAUGUGUAUCGGUAAAAUGCGUAGAGGAUAUGGAGGAACACCAGUGGCUAACGCGACUUUCUCGUCUGUAACUGACACUGAGGCGUGAAAGCGUGCGGAACUAAAUAGACUAGAUACCCUGGUCCUCCACGCCGUAAACUAUAGUGCUGUGUGUUUUAGGGUUUCCUCCCUUUACUGCUGAAUUUAACUCACUAACCACUCCACCAGGGGA